rnacentral:lncRNA from 1 species
UUUUAAAAUUAUAUAAAAGUCCUUUAUAUAAAAAUUAAAAUAUUAUAAAUUUUAAUUUUAGGAGGCCAAAUUAAUUUUUUUAAUAAAAUUUGUGCCUUGAUUUUUUUUCGAAUUUCUUGAUCCAUUCCCUUCAACUCUUACAGUUUUGUUCCUUUCUAAGCAUAUUGUCGUUAUCGGUGAAUCUGAUAUAUAUUUUUUUUUACUAUUCGAGAUCGAAUUUUUUUUUUUUACUAUCAAAUCUAAAUUUUGGGCCCCCCAUCUUAAUU